rnacentral:rRNA from 1 species
UGGGGAAUUGUUCGCAAUGGGCGCAAGCCUGACGACGCAACGCCGCGUGGAGGAUGAAGACCUUCGGGUCGUAAACUCCUUUCGAUCGAGACGAAUGGCCUCCGGGUGAACAAUCCGGAGGAGUGACGGUACCGAGUGAGGAAGCCCCGGCUAACUCUGUGCCAGCAGCCGCGGUAAUACAGAGGGGGCAAGCGUUGUUCGGAAUUACUGGGCGUAAAGGGCGCGUAGGCGGCCUGUUAAGUCGAACGUGAAAUCCCUGGGCUCAACCCAGGAACUGCGUCCGAUACUGGCAGGCUUGAAUCCGGGAGAGGGAUGCGGAAUUCCAGGUGUAGCCGGUGAAAUGCGUAGAUAUCUGGAGGAACACCGGUGGCGAAGGCGGCCACCUGGUUGGAUACUGACGCUGAGACGCGAAAGCGUGGGGAGCGAAACAGGAUUAGAUACCCAGGUAGUCCCUGAGCGGGCUGGCAAGGCGCAU